UCUAUACAUGACUCUGCGCAUAUCAAUAAGCGGAGGAAAAGAAACUAACAAGGAUUCCCCUAGUAACGGCGAGUGAAGCGGGAAGAGCUCAAAUUUGAAAUCUUAAAGGGUUUCCCUUUACGAAUUGUAGUUUAAAGAAGUGUUUUCUGUUGAGGUUUUGGUAAAAGUUCUUUGGAAUAGGACAUCAUAGAGGGUGAGAAUCCCGUAUUUGACCUUUACUUUCAACUUUGUGAUACACUUUCAAAGAGUCGGAUUGUUUGGGAAUGCAGUCCAAAAUGGGUGGUAAAUUUCAUCUAAAGCUAAAUAUUGGCGAGAGACCGAUAGCGAACAAGUACCGUGAGGGAAAGAUGAAAAGAACUUUGAAAAGAGAGUUAAACAGUACGUGAAAUUGUCAAAAGGGAAGCGUUUGACACCAGUGUUGUUUUUCUGAAAAUCAAUUAAAGAACUGUUUAUGCUAAGCUGUUUAGACUUUAUCAGCUAAUCUGUUUAGUUUUGAGCUUUUCUUCAAUGCACUUUUCAGUUAACAAGUCAACAUCAAUUUCUUUUGCUGUAAAAAAGCUUGAGGAAGGUGGCUUGAGAUUCGUCUUAAGUGUUUAUAGCCUCUUGCCUAUGCAGUCGGAGAGAUUGAGGUCUGCAGCGUAGAUCCUUCGGGGCUAAAUGCAUUUGUGCUAAGUUAUAGCAUUUUAUAGACAACUUGUUGACUAUGAUUUGUCUUGUAGCUUACUCGCUUAUGUUAUUUUACCUACGCUUAGGAUGUUGAUCUACAGAGCGAGAGU
rnacentral:rRNA from 1 species